UACGGAGGAUCCAAGCGUUAUCCGGAUUUAUUGGGUUUAAAGGGUGCGUAGGUGGCUUUGUAAGUCAGUGGUGAAAGUUUUCAGCUUAACUGGAAAAUUGCCAUUGAUACUGCAGGGCUUGAGUACAGAUGAGGUAGGCGGAAUGUGUCAUGUAGCGGUGAAAUGCAUAGAUAUGACUUAGAACACCAAUUGCGAAGGCAGCUUGCUAAACAAAUAUUGACGCUGAGGCACGAAAGCGUGGGGAUCAAACAGG
rnacentral:rRNA from 1 species